GCUGAGCUGAGGAUGAUUUAAAGUUAUCCCUGUCUGAAAUGGUAUCUUUUGUGAGGAGGUCUGACUUGCUGAGGCUCAGC